AACUCCCAGCUUUCCUGGGUGCGCGUUGCGGUCGAUACCAGCACGAGGUCCGGCCGAUAGUCGUGCAGGGCAAGCCAUCGCCCCAUCUCCGCGCCGUCAUGCCGGCCGCGCUCGUCGAGACGGCGAUCCUGAUCCCUGCCGGAAGGGGCGUCCCGCUCGGUCUUGGCGUGGCGCAGCAGGAUCAGACGGCGCAUAUCGCGAUCUCGUUUCGGUGGGCGUGGCAAAUGAUGCGAACUUCGGUGGUGAACCACUAGGGCACGGCCCGGA
rnacentral:misc_RNA from 1 species